rnacentral:rRNA from 1 species
UCCUACGGGCGGCUGCAGUGGGGAAUCUUGCACAAUGGGGGAAACCCUGAUGCAGCGACGCCGCGUGGGUGAUGAAGUCCUUCGGGAUGUAAAGCCCUUUCGACAGGAACGAUAAUGACGGUACCUGGAGAAGAAGCUGCGGCUAACUACGUGCCAGCAGCCGCGGUAAUACGUAGGCAGCAAGCGUUGUUCGGAGUUACUGGGCGUAAAGAGUAUGUAGGCGGUUGGGUAAGUUUGGUGUGAAAUCUCCCGGCUUAACUGGGAGGGUGCGCCGAAAACUGCCUGGCUCGAGUGCGGGAGAGGGGAGCGGAAUUCCUGGUGUAGCGGUGAAAUGCGUAGAUAUCAGGAGGAACACCUGCGGUGUAGACGGCUCCCUGGACCGUGACUGACGCUGAGAUACGAAAGCGUGGGUAGCAAACAGGAUUAGAUACCCGGGUAGUCA